rnacentral:rRNA from 1 species
GACGAACGCUGGCGGCGUGCUUAACACAUGCAAGUCGAACGGAAAGGCCCUGCUUUUGUGGGGUGCUCGAGUGGCGAACGGGUGAGUAACACGUGAGUAACCUGCCCUUGACUUUGGGAUAACUUCAGGAAACAGGGGCUAAUACCGGAUAGGAGCUCCUGCUGCAUGGUGGGGGUUGGAAAGUUUCGGCGGUUGGGGAUGGACUCGCGGCUUAUCAGCUUGUUGGUGGGGUAGUGGCUUACCAAGGCUUUGACGGGUAGCCGGCCUGAGAGGGUGACCGGCCACAUUGGGACUGAGAUACGGCCCAGACUCCUACGGGAGGCAGCAGUGGGGAAUAUUGCACAAUGGGCGGAAGCCUGAUGCAGCAACGCCGCGUGCGGGAUGACGGCCUUCGGGUUGUAACCCGCUUUCGCCUGUGACGAAGCGUGAGUGACGGUAAUGGGUAAAGAAGCACCGGCUAACUACGUG